AGAGUUUGAUCCUGGCUCAGGACGAACGCUGGCGGCAUGCCUAACACAUGCAAGUCGAACGAGAAAGUUCCUUCGGGAGCAAUUAAAGUGGCGCACGGGUGAGUAACGCGUAGACAAUCUGCCCUUCAGUCUGGGACAACUUUUCGAAAGGAGAGCUAAUACCGGAUAACAAUGCAUGACACAAGUUGUAUAUUUGAAAGCUUUAUGUGCUGAAGGAGGGGUCUGCGUCCCAUUAGCUAGUUGGUAGGGUAAAGGCUUACCAAGGCAACGAUGGGUAGCGGGUUUGAGAGGACGAUCCGCCACACUGGAACUGAGACACGGUCCAGACUCCUACGGGAGGCAGCAGUGGGGAAUAUUGCACAAUGGAGGAAACUCUGAUGCAGCAAUGUCGCGUGAGUGAAGAAGGCCCUUGGGUCGUAAAGCUCUUUUAUGGGGGAAGAUGAUGACGGUACCCCAAGAAUAAGCACCGGCUAACUAUGUGCCAGCAGCCGCGGUAAUACAUAGGGUGCGAGCGUUGUUCGGAAUUACUGGGCGUAAAGGGCGCGCAGGCGGAAUAGUAAGUCGGAGGUGAAAGCCCGGGGCUCAACCCCGGAGGGUCUUUCGAAACUACUAAUCUAGAGAGGGUCAGGGGCCGGCAGAAUUCCUGGUGUAGAGGUGAAAUUCGUAGAUAUCAGGAGGAAUACCGGUGGCGAAGGCAGCACUCUGGGCCGGUACUGACGCUGAGGAGCGAAAGCGUGGGGAGCGAACAGGAUUAGAUACCCUGGUAGUCCACGCCGUAAACGUUGGGCACUAGGUGUGGGAUCUAACUAACAGAUUCCGUGCCGCAGCUAACGCAUUAAGUGCCCCGCCUGGGGAGUACGGCCGCAAGGCUAAAACUCAAAGGAAUUGACGGGGGCCCGCACAAGCGGCGGAGCAUGUUGCUUAAUUCGAGGCAACGCGAAGAACCUUACCUGGGUUUGACAUGUAGAGAAAAGCCAUAGAGAUAUGGUGUCCUUCGGGGCUCUACACAGGUGGUGCAUGGCUGUCGUCAGCUCGUGUCGUGAGAUGUUGGGUUAAGUCCCGCAACGAGCGCAACCCUUGUCCUAUGUUGCCAGCGGAUAAUGCCGGGGACUCGUAGGAGACUGCCGGGGUCAACUCGGAGGAAGGUGGGGACGACGUCAAGUCAUCAUGCCCCUUAUAUCCAGGGCUGCAAACAUGCUACAAUGGCCGGUACAGAGGGCUGCAAAACCGUGAGGUUGAGCGAAUCCCACAAAGCCGGUCUCAGUUCGGAUUGGAGUCUGCAACUCGACUCCAUGAAGGCGGAGUCGCUAGUAAUCCCGGAUCAGCAACGCCGGGGUGAAUACGUUCCCGGGCCUUGUACACACCGCCCGUCACACCACGAAAGUCGGCAACACCCGAAGUCAGUGGCCUAACUCUUAGGAGAAGGAGCUGCCGAAGGUGGGGUUGGCGAUUGGGGUGAAGUCGUAACAAGGUAACC
rnacentral:rRNA from 1 species